rnacentral:lncRNA from 1 species
GGCUGCAGUGGCACCUGCUAUAUGAGGCUGAGAGGAGAGGCUGCUCAGACACAGAGAGCCCAGUUGAAAUCUACCCACACUUGCUAUUAAAUCACAAGGCGUCCACACAAAGAACAAAAUCCAACCAAGAGCUACGGAGAACCUUGUCAGUUCAUAAAUUUAAAGCAACCCCAUUUCCUUUGCUUUUGAACAAUCCAAACUGGAUGGUGGAUAUACAUUGGAACAAUCAGUGAAAAUGGACCCAGAAAUAGGGUGAAGCAUGUCUGCCACACUCAUCUACCUGCUGACCAUGGGUGAACCUCAUGGUGAGCUGUUGACCACAGGAUUCACCACAGAAUUCACUCUCCAGAAGACAAAAACUGCUGUGGAGAUUGGAAAAUUUAUCUUAAAAUAUUAAGGUCAGACAAGAACCUCUGUCAAGGAACAGGAAGUCAUGCCCUGAGGAGACAAGUAGAGGCUGUAGCCAUGGGUGGCUUUGGGGUAGUAGCUGCUGGCUGUGCCUGGAAGGACAUCAUGAAAGUUGUAAGGCAACUACAAAGGGCCCAGAGUUUCCCUUGUGAAUGAGCUCAGCAUACUCACGUUUCCAAGAGGAAUCAACACUGUAAUUCCUCGGACCACGGUGGCUCUCUUCCCAGCACACCCUUGCUGUGACCUGCACCCCUGCAUUGUCCUCAAAGACACACUAAGAAAACACAUUUCAGAAGGAAGGACGUAACGGAGCUCAUGAUCCAGUUCUGCGUUUGGCGUGGCCCCAAAGACACUGUGUGCAGAGUCAGAAAUAUGCUCCCCAGUUGGACUCCGUGGGAUGCUGUUUCAAAAGUGCUAUCAUUCUUGUCCAUUUACCACAUAUCUUGUUGUAAUAGGCUCUUCUUUUCUAGGAUUUUUUAUUUUCCCUGGCAUUUUGUGUUUUGGUAAUUGCCUACAAGAAUAGUUCUAUAACAUAAAUCAACAAUGAAAACCAAAUUACCCCUGCCCACAUCCUUUCAUUCCUUUUUCAUCUCUAAUGAUAUUUUCUGUGUGAUGACUAACCCAGACUGACGUAAUUUAUCAAUUGAUCUUGACGAUGUACAUUAGAAAAUGCAUUCUGCAGGCCCCAGCAGGCCAUCUUCCAUGUGCGCCACAUAGCUUUAGAAAACCUAUUAGUGCCACAGAAAUAUCUAAAGCCCAGCCUUUUUGCUAAGAAUAUUAGAACUGGUGCUAAUUACUUUAUUAAUCAUAAAGUGAAACAGCAGUGCUAUGUCACCACAGCUGUAAAAUAAGUGGUUUUAUGGCAAAAGUAGUUAAAGAGAAAGGACAGAUUGGAUUUAUAAUACUCAGCUGGUUAAAAAAAAGAAAUUAUGCAUACCAGCAAUUUUCUUUCUUUGGUUAAAUGUUCAUUAAAUGUGUACCACUAAAAACCAUUUGUAACUAAUUCCCUAGUGGGUCCGUGCAGGUAUAAUGAGUCAACAUAUCUCCUGAGAGAAAGGAGCGUUGCAGACAUGCUGAUGAGAGGAAUCUUGUCGCCAAAACCUGGAGGCCAUGCUGGUGUUGGGGACUUAGGCUAUCCUGCAGGUGCCUGUCACCAUUAAGGGCGGCAGAAUUCAGAGGCUUUGGUCCAGGUUAAAGCACAGAGGCGGCCACUGUCUGAAGACAGGGACACCACAAUGACCAUCAUUGAGGGCGAUGUUUAUACUUCCAUUGUUAGUUUAGAUAUUUUGUUUUCUUUAAAGUCAGUAUUGUCUCUGAGUAAAUAAAAAUAAUCUCCAGUUUCUG